rnacentral:rRNA from 1 species
UAAGACGAGCCACACAAACGUUAUUCGGAAUCACUGGGCUUAAAGGGUGCGUAGGCGGCGCGGAAAGUUGGGUGUGAAAUCCCUUGGCUUAACCAAGGAAUGGCGCCCAAAACUGCCGUGCUUGAGGGAGACAGAGGUGAGCGGAACUCAGGGUGGAGCGGUGAAAUGCGUUGAUAUCCUGAGGAACACCGGUGGCGAAAGCGGCUCACUGGGUCUCUUCUGACGCUGAGGCACGAAAGCUAGGGGAGCGAACGGGAUUAGAUACCCCGGUAGUCCUAGCUGUAAACGAUGAGCACUUGGUUGAAGGGCCCUCCAUAGCCCUUCAGCCGAAGCGAAAGUGUUAAGUGCUCCGCCUGGGGAGUAUGGUCGCAAGGCUG